rnacentral:lncRNA from 1 species
CCACAAAAGGAUCUAUGAUAGUGACAGCAAUCCUGCAUUGGUGAAAGAAGUAGUGGAAUCCAAAGAAGCAGUAGAAUCAAUGCGAAUCCUCUGCAUGGGGACAAGGGAAGAGUUAGACGGUUCAUAUAAGUGUUUCCCGAGUGCCCCUGUGUAACUAUCACUGAAAGAUACACCGGAAGUCACCUUGGAGGUGAUCUGAGCUCAGUAAAAUUCGUUAUGAUUUGAGAAUACUCACAUGCACAGAAGUCCUGGAACCCACUUAC